rnacentral:guide_RNA from 1 species
AACAUCCAAUAGAUAAAUGUGCGAGAGAUCUGUAUAAUGUAAAUAUU